rnacentral:lncRNA from 1 species
AUGACCAUGUCUCCCCACACUGGGCUGAGCACACUGUCCCAGAAAUUGGGAGGUUGUACGUGUGGAGGGUGUCAUCUUAUUGAUGAAGCCUGAACAUGAAUUACCCUGUCUCAUGUAACAGUGUGUAUGUUGGUAAAGGAAGACAAGUGACCUCAUUCAAAGUCAUCUACAUUCACUUUCACACAUAGAUGUGAUCCUGAGAACAGGACACACACACGCACAAGUGAAAACGUGUAAACAUGUAUAUAAGUACAGAAUUAGACUGGAGAGUACUGCCAUGGUGUUUUCUGUGAUAGUGGCAUAGAUGUUUGUUCCUCUAUGUGGAAGUCAUCUGAGUACAAGUAAAAAGAUUGCUAUAGCCAGGAACUGAAGUCCUCGGGGAAGGUGAGAGAUCAGUACCCCGGCUGCUUUUCCUACCUUUCCUAGACAAGCUCAGUAAUGGUCAAAUGUGGGCCUGCAAACAAACUCUUCAUCCUUCUUUACUUAGGCUGGAGGCUGGAGUCCAGGUCCAGGUCCAUCUGUCUGGCUUCAUUCUAAGGCCCUUCUGCCUGAUGAAGUUCACUGGUUCAACAGCAAACCUUCUUAAAGAGAACUCAUUGUUUACCUUUCUCCAAAGCAUCACGGGGCCAUCUCCCCAGCACAGGAGGCAGGAAGGAGAUCCUGUAACAACAGUCUCCCUGGAUGCAGAAGACGAUGAGCAUCAGCAACUCAGGCUUCUGGAAAUGAAGUCCCUUUCCAGGACACAUGUGAGUAUAAGGGAGAGGGGGCAGGAAGAGGAAAAAUGAAAGGUCGACCCAACGA